GACGAACGCUGGCGGCGUGCUUAACACAUGCAAGUCGAACGGAAAGGCCUCUUUCGGGGGGUACUCGAGUGGCGAACGGGUGAGUAACACGUGAGUAACCUGCCCUUGACUUUGGGAUAACUUCAGGAAACUGGGGCUAAUACCGGAUAGGAGCUCCUGCUGCAUGGGGGGGGUUGGAAAGUUUCGGCGGUUGGGGGUGGACUCGCGGCGUAUCAGCUUGUUGGUGGGGGAGUGGCUUACCAAGGCUUUGACGGGUAGCCGGCCUGAGAGGGUGACCGGCCACAUUUGGACUGAGAUUCGGCCCAGACUCCUACGGGAGGCAGCAGUUGGGAAUAUUGCACCAUGGGUGGAAGCCUGAUGCAGCAACGCCGUGUGCGGGAUGACGGCCUUCGGGUUGUAAACCGCUUUCGCUCAUGACGAAGCUUUGUGUGACGGUAGUGGGUAAAGAAGCACCGGCUAACUACGUG
rnacentral:rRNA from 1 species